GGGAGCCGUCAAAGCCGAUGACGGACGGAACCACCGGGGAUUCCUGGGCCGAUCAGCUGGAGAGAGGAACAAACCAAUGACGGAAAGGUUGUAUCUCUUCCUCACAUGGUGGACAUUUCCUUCACAGAUAGGAACGUUUAUGAGCAAGUCCUGUUCUUUCCCACAAGGGCAGCAUCAGUAGCCUCUACAUUUAUUUCCCUUGGCUCCGAUCAAAGUCCCGACUAUUCCAAGCGAGGCAUCUCAAAAUGUUAUUCGUGUUCCAUGUUGACCAUGAGGUGGGGUCUCUAUCUUGAAGAUAUUGAAGGUGUUUGCUCAGAAAAUAAGCCAUGGCGCUAAAUGUAUUUUGUACAGUAGCGCAUCUCAGCCCAUGAAGUAAAUACUGAUGAGCCGGCCACACAUAUAUUAGUUCACGUGUCAAUAGAUAGUGUCAAUUCUGUGCCGCUAAUGUGAGGGAGAGCCACUUGGAAACAAGCUCUAAAUGGAUUCUAUAGGAAAUCUAUGCCAGCACGUAUGUCCAUAAAUGAGUCUUUCCUAUCUUUUAAUGCCAUCUGAAGAUAGGCAGCCCUGCUUGUUAUUGACUGGAGGACAACCCACAUCGCCGCUCAAGGAUUCACACCGAGGGUGUUUAUCAGAAAAACGGGAUUACCUUGAUGUCUGAUAACUGUGAAAAUGCCAGCGUGGGUUUAAACAAGCACACUCGGUGGAUAGCAGAUGUUUAUUAUGGAUGUAAAGCCUUCAGGGAUUUGCAGGCCUUUACCAAGCAAGGAUUCCCAUUUGGUCACUUAGGGGUUGAACACGCAUGUUUUACAGUGUAACAUAGGACUACACACGCGGACAAAAUUGUUGACCCCUCUGUUAAGGAAAGAAAAACCCACAGUGUUCACUGAAAUAACUUGGAUCAAACAAAAAAUAAAAUAAAAAUGUCAU